AGUCGGUAAAACCUCUAAACGAUGGACAAAAUUAUUUUCAACGAGUCAAUCCACAACUUGCCUAAGACUACAAUGGCUGAUGUAAACAGAAUCGCCGAAAUGUUUUCAUUAACUUGAGAGAAGCUACAAGUUCUUUGUUGAAAACUACUUAUUCAACUAUCAAGGCGAGUCCCCUGAUGCUAAGCUAACGCUAACUGGUUAAGGCUAACUGUAAGCAAGCUCACUGUUUAACGAUCUCUGGAUAUGUUGAGUUUAUUUUCAUAAUCAUGUACUUACUCAUCCAUAGCUAGUUUCAUUUCAAAACGUUUUUUAGUAACUGAAUCUUAUAUUUUCCCCUGAUAUAUGCAGUGUCGUGGAUAGUAGAUGGUGAAGUGGCAAUUCGGGCAAGAUGCCACCAAUGAAUGAAAAAGAGCAGCCACAUUAUGUCCAGGUUGCCUAUAUGAACAAUUAAGUGGCAUAUCCAUGUUAAUUUAGGCUACUGCGGUGUAGCAGUGUGUUCUGUUGUUCCUGUGUCCCGUCUGUUGCUGCCUUUAAGUAGUUAAAGUUCAAUUUAAUUACGCCACAAAAUUCCUAUGUUCUUGAUCUCAGGUUGAUUGGUUCCUGACCGUAUACAUAUGUUUGAUUCAUACUCCUGACAUCCUCACAGAUCAUAGUUAAAACGUUAAAGAUAAGUUAAAAUGAUAUUCUGUUUAGUGUGUUUUUAUUUAUUUAUUUUUUAAAGUUGUCAUCACUAAUGCAUCCGAAAACAACAUGGAUGUUAUUAUUAAUACUAUAAUAAAAAUACUUGUUUGGAAGCUUGCAGUUUCUGAAUUGUUGUUAAGGAACUUACUGUGAAAUACUGAUGAAGUACUGAACUACUCAGUAACAACUCUGAUGUAUCACUUUACUGACCAAAUCUCUACAAACUAUGUAAGGUUUAACACAGCCUGCUUUAUGCUUAGAAAUGUGGUGUCAAUAUAUGUAUGUUAGUUUAGCAGCAGAUGUUUUUAAAAACAAACUCUAACUGUUGUAGUUAAUAUCAAAUGCCACCUUUGCUUUUCAUUUCAUUUAAUACGAUUUUCAUUGGGAUGCCAGACCAGCAAGAAAAGGUAAGUCAUGCGCAUGACUCCACCCCACGUGUGUGUGUAUAGGCCGGGUUCAAAUUAGACUCAAAAUGAUUCUGAGCUUGUAAAGUGAUGUUCACAAAUAAUUCUAAUGUUUGUAGUUAUAAAUAAACAUUUGAAAACCUUUAAAACCGAGAAAUUCAAGUUUAUGCAUGUGAAAAAUUGUGCUUAUGUCGAAGAGAUUUGUAUUUGUUUUUAUUUAUAUAUAUAUAUUUUUUUAAACUGAAUCAAAGAUGAACAAAUGAGCAUUUUACAUUGAUUAAUGAAUUAAAUAAUUUCAACACAAGAAUAACAAUAAGAAAAUGGGGGGGUGCCUGAAUACUUUCUAAAUACAUAUGUCUGAUCUGUCAAACAGAUAUCUUUUAGUAUUCUUUCCUAACAGAUGCUUCCCACCAGCGAGUUUAUCUACAGUGAGGUGUAAUGUAUAUUAUGUUUUCAUGCAUGAUAACUCGUUUUGGUAGAAAAAUUGGAGAAAAAAUUUCAUUCAUUGAACAUUUACAGUGUUUUUGUAUGUUUGUUUGCUUGAUAUCUGAUGAAGACAUUCAGUGUGACGUGGCACUCUCAGCCUGAUGAUUCACUAAUGGUUAUUCCCUUCAUGCAUAAACUACAGCUGCAUAUUUGCUAUUUUGGGGGGGACAAAAAAAGCCUCCCCCCGCAUUAGCAUUAGCAUUGAUGAAUGGCAGGGUUUAUGUCAUGUAUGUUUCAGCUACUUUUACUUAUGUGUGUAUUGAAUUAAAAAAAAAAAAAAAAAGUAAAAGUAUCAACAUUAACAUUUGAAACCUUUCUCUCUCUCUCUCUCUCUCUCUCUCUCUCUCUCUCUCUCUCUCUCUCUCUCUCUCUCUCUCUCUCUCUCUCUCUCUCUCUCUCUGUCUGCAUCCAUGACAUAUGGAGACACAGAGGUGCCACCUCAGCUGCAUUCAGGAUCCACCAGGUGUGCAGCUGUACACAGAGGCCGGUAGGCUGACAAAGGGCGGGGUCAGCCUGCUGGUUUCCACCUUACAUAGUUCAUCCCAGCCAGUGCCAAGUACUUCCAACACCUGCCAGACAGAGCUGGACAAAUAGCAAGUUGUCUUCCCUCCCAGAUACCAGGAGAGGCAGCUUUAGGAUACAGUUCAAGGUUGGAGUCUCCAGAGCUGUUUUCUUGAAAUGAACUCAGGCCCUGCAAACUGGCCCAGUGCCAGCCGCCUGGUGGAGGCCAGUGGCCACGUGGUCCAGAGUGACCAUAAGGACUUGGUCGUCCCUCAUCCUCGAAGACUAUGUGGCCAUUAGAGAGGCAGCGCUGGCCAGCCUGAGGUUGAUGGCUCAAACCAACAUCCAGCUCUUUGAAUUAAAAUGAGAACUCAGUGGUGCUGGCCAGACUCUUCAGCAAAGGGUCUGUCUUUGGUACAGGUGGGAUAAGGACAGCCCUUAAACUUCAAUGUCCCAGAGGAGCAGCCUGAGCCCUCCAGCAGGGGUCUGCCUUCUCCUCCUCCUCCAGACAAUGAACAGCUUGGCCCCUCAUCCAGUGCUGUUGGUCCUCCCUUCGCUCCAGCUCCACUCCCCUCUUCUGUUCAGCCAGUUCCUCUGGCCUGGACUACAUGUACCCAGGACCAGAGCCUAUAGGAAGAGGAAGGCGGCCCGAAGCUUCUGUGGCAGAGCGGGGGCCGCUGCCUGGAGGAAAAACCUGCUGGCAGCCGACAUCAUACAUCUGUAGCUAGUG